rnacentral:rRNA from 1 species
UGUGAGUGUGUAAGAGCGCAUGGUGGAUGCCUUGGCAUCAGGAGCCGAUGAAGGACGUGGAAAUCUGCGAUAAGCCUCGGGGAGCCGAUAAACGGGCUGUGAUCCGAGGAUGUCCGAAUGGGGGAACCCCGCCGCAUGCGAGUGCGG